CCUACGGGGGGCUGCAGUGAGGAAUAUUGGUCAAUGGUCGAGAGACUGAACCAGCCAAGCCGCGUGAGGGAUGAAGGUACAGAGUAUCGUAAACCUCUUUUGUCGGGGAACAAAGGCGGGGACGUGUCCCCGGAUGAGUGUACCUGAAGAAAAAGCAUCGGCUAACUCCGUGCCAGCAGCCGCGGUAAUACGGAGGAUGCGAGCGUUAUCCGGAUUUAUUGGGUUUAAAGGGGGGGCAGGCGGUUUGUUAAGUCAGCGGUAAAAGCCCGGGGCUCAACCCCGGACCGCCGUUGAAACUGGCAGUCUCGAGUUGGAGAGAAGUAUGCGGAAUGCGCGGUGUAGCGGUGAAAUGCAUAGAUAUCGCGCAGAACUCCGAUUGCGAAGGCAGCAUGCCGGCUCCACACUGACGCUGAGGCACGAAAGCGUGGGUAUCGAACAGGAUUAGAUACCCCGGUAGUC
rnacentral:rRNA from 1 species